UCAUCUUUCGCGUUACUAUUACAAAUGUACUGUUAUCAAGACCAGCUGCUCUGUGUCAUCAGAUUACCAUUUUUAUGAAGUAUGUAUGCUAUUGAGAUCAUAACAGAUGUGCCUACAGUAGAAUUACAUCAUCACAUUAAUAUGCCUCUUCAUUAUUCUGCAUAUGAAACUGCCAGACAGAUAUAUCUCCCACAUAAUGCAGUAAUAGUACCAGUGGAACAUCAUCUUUCUGUUGUCUCAACAACUCGUACAAGAAGACAAAUAGCAAGCUGUUGGUGUCACUCGGUGCAGAGACAACUAUCAGCUUUUGAAUCAACAUGGGCUCUGGAUUUGGAAAUGAUGUUUUCAAUGGCUUCUUCUGGCUCCUGGUAUUAAUAUUAGUGUCAUGGUGGAUUGCAGCAAUCUGUUUCUUUCCAUUCCUAGUAUUCAGUGUCCUAACACCCUGUAUCAGAGGUUUCAAAAAUGUGUAUGAACUACUUCUAGCUGGUGUAAUGUUUCCACACAAGUGCUCUGACAAUAUGAUAAAUCGAAGAUCAUACGACUCAUUUUGAGAUUACCGAGACAAAACUGGUAACUUGAAAUUAAAGAUCUGAUAUAUACAUACAUCAAAGAAUUUUAAAGUGAUCGUUCUGUUUCUCUUUUGGGAGUGGGUAUGUGACAAUUAAUGAUGGCAAAUAUAGGCUUGAAAACUGUCUCGGCUAGGCACUAACUAUGAUUUAGACCAGCCUAUCAACCUACAUAUAUGGACAAAACUGGGAUGUCAAGUGACCUCCACUUCCUGAAUUGGUUGUGGCUUUAUACAGUGCUAAGAAUAGGAGAACAUGCAUCUGGAGAGACAGUGUAAUUUAGAAACUGAUGGUUCCUUAAAUAUGACUGUUAACAAAUAAUAAAAUUAAGAUGGAGAAAUCUGAUAUGUUCUUGUAUAAUUUCAGGUAAUUAAAGUGUGAAGAAAAGAACUAUUCUUGCACAUUA